rnacentral:rRNA from 1 species
AAAUUGAAGAGUUUGAUCAUGGCUCAGAUUGAACGCUGGCGGCAGGCCUAACACAUGCAAGUCGAACGGUAACAGGAAGCAGCUUGCUGCUUUGCUGACGAGUGGCGGACGGGUGAGUAAUGUCUGGGAAACUGCCUGAUGGAGGGGGAUAACUACUGGAAACGGUAGCUAAUACCGCAUAACGUCGCAAGACCAAAGAGGGGGACCUUCGGGCCUCUUGCCAUCGGAUGUGCCCAGAUGGGAUUAGCUAGUAGGUGGGGUAACGGCUCACCUAGGCGACGAUCCCUAGCUGGUCUGAGAGGAUGACCAGCCACACUGGAACUGAGACACGGUCCAGACUCCUACGGGAGGCAGCAGUGGGGAAUAUUGCACAAUGGGCGCAAGCCUGAUGCAGCCAUGCCGCGUGUAUGAAGAAGGCCUUCGGGUUGUAAAGUACUUUCAGCGGGGAGGAAGGGAGUAAAGUUAAUACCUUUGCUCAUUGACGUUACCCGCAGAAGAAGCACCGGCUAACUCCGUGCCAGCAGCCGCGGUAAUACGGAGGGUGCAAGCGUUAAUCGGAAUUACUGGGCGUAAAGCGCACGCAGGCGGUUUGUUAAGUCAGAUGUGAAAUCCCCGGGCUCAACCUGGGAACUGCAUCUGAUACUGGCAAGCUUGAGUCUCGUAGAGGGGGGUAGAAUUCCAGGUGUAGCGGUGAAAUGCGUAGAGAUCUGGAGGAAUACCGGUGGCGAAGGCGGCCCCCUGGACGAAGACUGACGCUCAGGUGCGAAAGCGUGGGGAGCAAACAGGAUUAGAUACCCUGGUAGUCCACGCCGUAAACGAUGUCGACUUGGAGGUUGUGCCCUUGAGGCGUGGCUUCCGGAGCUAACGCGUUAAGUCGACCGCCUGGGGAGUACGGCCGCAAGGUUAAAACUCAAAUGAAUUGACGGGGGCCCGCACAAGCGGUGGAGCAUGUGGUUUAAUUCGAUGCAACGCGAAGAACCUUACCUGGUCUUGACAUCCACGGAAGUUUUCAGAGAUGGAAUGGUGCCUUCGGGAACCGUGAGACAGGUGCUGCAUGGCUGUCGUCAGCUCGUGUUGUGAAAUGUUGGGUUAAGUCCCGCAACGAGCGCAACCCUUAUCCUUUGUUGCCAGCGGUCCGGCCGGGAACUCAAAGGAGACUGCCAGUGAUAAACUGGAGGAAGGUGGGGAUGACGUCAAGUCAUCAUGGCCCUUACGACCAGGGCUACACACGUGCUACAAUGGCGCAUACAAAGAGAAGCGACCUCGCGAGAGCAAGCGGACCUCAUAAAGUGCGUCGUAGUCCGGAUUGGAGUCUGCAACUCGACUCCAUGAAGUCGGAAUCGCUAGUAAUCGUGGAUCAGAAUGCCACGGUGAAUACGUUCCCGGGCCUUGUACACACCGCCCGUCACACCAUGGGAGUGGGUUGCAAAAGAAGUAGGUAGCUUAACCUUCGGGAGGGCGCUUACCACUUUGUGAUUCAUGACUGGGGUGAAGUCGUAACAAGGUAACCGUAGGGGAACCUGCGGUUGGAUCACCUCCUUACCUUAAAGAA